CUUUCUCGGGUCAUUCACGAGUCCUCCUUUCAGUUGCCUCAAAGCAGCCUCCAAAGGCUGCUUCUUCAUCUUCUUCUCUCAUCUUCAUCGCCGACCUCUACUAGGGUUUCCAGAUUCAUCUCAUCUGCGCCGCCUGACAGCUCUUGAUCGAGCCCACCUGCUCGGUAUCCGGUAAUUCCUGCGAUUGGAAACGCCGAUUUUCCCAUUUCGUGAUUGUCUGAUCUUGAUUUGUUCUUUGCUUGCUCAUCUUUGGAGUGGUGAAGCUCUACUUUGCAUCGAUUUUUGUUGUUUGUGAUCUUAAUCUAAGUAUGCCUAAGGAGAGAAGAGAUAGAUCUGUUUCCUCAGAUAGGACUAGAGCAUUUCCAUACCCAUGUAGCUCAAGUCGCUCAAGGCAUUCAUUGCCAUUAGAUCAUCUAGAAAGUGAAAAAAAUGUAAAAGAAUGGGAAGAAGCAAGAUGCCCAGUCUGUAUGGAGCAUCCUCACAAUGCCAUUCUUCUUGUGUGUUCAUCUCAUGAUAAAGGUUGCCGCCCUUAUAUGUGUGACACAAGCUACAGGCAUUCCAACUGUUUUGACCAGUUUAGGAAAUCAUUUGAGGAGGCUUCACAAACCCCUAUUCAGCAAGAGGAGGUGGUUCCAGUGUCGACCUCUCCCAUUGCAUCUGCCCCUGUGACAUCAGAAACAACACUGCAGGGGGGAAUAAGUGAGAGUUCAACUCCCAUGCAUGAUGUGCUUUGUGAUCAUGAAAAGAAAAAUAUGGUAUGCCCUCUUUGCAGAGGGCAGGUCAAUGCGUGGAUGGUUAAUGAACCUGCACGUCAUUUCAUGAAUGCAAAACCAAGAAGCUGCUCUUGCGAGACUUGUGACUUCAAUGGUACAUAUACAGACUUAAGGAAGCACGCAAGAUCAGUUCACCCAUUAGUACGGCCAACAGAGGCUGACCCUGAAAGGCAGCGUAACUGGAGGAGGUUGGAGCGACAGAGAGAUUUAGGGGAUUUGCUGAGUACACUGCAUUCUUCUCUUGGAGAAGAGGAAAGUGAAGGCAGCACCUUAACCUUUGAUGAUGGGGGCUUGCUAACAGUUUUCCUCUUUGUUCGAAUUCUCCAACCUAGGAGCAGUCCUAGGAGCAGCAGCUGGUCUGGUUCAUCAAGAGCGCGGGGUCAGGUGACUUUUAGGAGACGACCUUCAAGGAGACUUUGGGGUGAGACCUAUGAUGGGGAAAUUGAGUCCAGAGAUGAUGAUAAUGAAGAUUCUGAUGCUGGAACUGCUGCAAGGAGGCAUCAAGACAGAAUGAGCCGGCAACCAACACCAGAAAACUAGUGUUGCUAGCAAACACGGGUUUGUCUGAUGGUUUCUUUGAAUAUUUAUGCUGUAGGCAGAUAAAAACAGGAAAAAGCUAAUUCCGCUUCUACUCCGCCAGCCCUGCUGAGACCCAAGAGUAGAACAGCGGUUUCCUGGUCACGGUGUUGCAGAUUUGGUUUGUAGUGAACCAGAAAGAUAUUUAUUUUCAUUUGUAUUUGUACAUCUUUUCUUGUAAUCUUUCUCUCAAAGUUUCAAGCACCUGGUGCUACUAAUGUUGAACAUUUCCAUUCGAAUCGAUAAAUGUGAAAGCAAUGUCUUGUUUUGCUUUCAAACACUACAGAGAUAUAAACUGUGCUUCCUGUCUCAGUCAAAGUUCUCUUGACUAGUGCACACCA